CUGAUACCCAGGCUGCAUAGCAUUAUUCAUAUAAUUAUUGUAACUCGAUUGAUUUACUCUAAAAAGAUAAAGUAAACUCAGAUACCAUAGGUACAAAUCGAAAUCUAAAAAUACACAGACGACGAAAGAACAAGGGCGAAUUAAUCAGAAAAUCUUUGUACAAUAAUCACUACGGGCUAUGCCGAAGAAGCUCUGAUGAACCUGGAAGUGGAAGGAGAAGAAGCAAAAGAGAGAUGUCUGAGGAUGAGAAAGCGAACUCGCCGAGGAAAAGGCAGCGGCGCCCGGUGGAAUACGUGCUCCAACACUCUGGCCAGCAACACCGUGUACUCCUCCAGAAACUCCGUCAGUAGCGCCACCAGUAUCAUGAUUUCUUCUAAUCACACACUUUUCGCACGAAUCUCAACUCUCAAAAAUGAUUCAUAAAUAGGAGUGAGCGUGAGUUGAGAAGAUUCUAUUUUCGGGGGCGUGGGCAGUGGUCUGGAUGUCAAAUCCCAACGGCGGGGAGAGAGAAUGAGCAAUCCUU
rnacentral:lncRNA from 1 species